GGGUUGUGAGGUUAAGCGACUAAGCGUACACGGUGGAUGCCCUGGCAGUCAGAGGCGAUGAAGGACGUGCUAAUCUGCGAAAAGCGUCGGUAAGGUGAUAUGAACCGUUACAGCCGGCGAUGUCCGAAUGGGGAAACCCAGUGCAAUUCGUUGCACUAUCGUUAACUGAAUACAUAGGUUAACGAGGCGAACCGGGGGAACUGAAACAUCUAAGUACCCCGAGGAAAAGAAAUCAACCGAGAUUCCCCCAGUAGCGGCGAGCGAACGGGGAGCAGCCCAGAGUCUGAAUCAGCUUGUGUGUUAGUGGAACGGUCUGGAAAGUCCGACGGUACAGGGUGAUAGUCCCGUACACCAAAAUGCACAGGUUGUGAACUCGAAGAGUAGGGCGGGACACGUGGUAUCCUGUCUGAAUAUGGGGGGACCAUCCUCCAAGGCUAAAUACUCCUGACUGACCGAUAGUGAACCAGUACCGUGAGGGAAAGGCGAAAAGAACCCCGGCGAGGGGAGUGAAAAAGAACCUGAAACCGUGUACGUACAAGCAGUGGGAGCACCUUCGGGUGUGACUGCGUACCUUUUGUAUAAUGGGUCAGCGACUUAUAUUCUGUAGCAAGGUUAACCGUAUAGGGGAGCCGCAGGGAAACCGAGUCUUAACUGGGCGUUAAGUUGCAGGGUAUAGACCCGAAACCCGGUGAUCUAGCCAUGGGCAGGUUGAAGGUUGGGUAACACUAACUGGAGGACCGAACCGACUAAUGUUGAAAAAUUAGCGGAUGACUUGUGGCUGGGGGUGAAAGGCCAAUCAAACCGGGAGAUAGCUGGUUCUCCCCGAAAGCUAUUUAGGUAGCGCCUCGUGAACUCAUCUUCGGGGGUAGAGCACUGUUUCGGCUAGGGGGUCAUCCCGACUUACCAACCCGAUGCAAACUACGAAUACCGAAGAAUGUUAUCACGGGAGACACACGGCGGGUGCUAACGUCCGUCGUGAAGAGGGAAACAACCCAGACCGCCAGCUAAGGUCCCAAAGUCAUGGUUAAGUGGGAAACGAUGUGGGAAGGCACAGACAGCCAGGAUGUUGGCUUAGAAGCAGCCAUCAUUUAAAGAAAGCGUAAUAGCUCACUGGUCGAGUCGGCCUGCGCGGAAGAUGUAACGGGGCUAAACCAUGCACCGAAGCUGCGGCAGCGACACUAUGUGUUGUUGGGUAGGGGAGCGUUCUGUAAGCCUGCGAAGGUGUGCUGUGAGGCAUGCUGGAGGUAUCAGAAGUGCGAAUGCUGACAUAAGUAACGAUAAAGCGGGUGAAAAGCCCGCUCGCCGGAAGACCAAGGGUUCCUGUCCAACGUUAAUCGGGGCAGGGUGAGUCGACCCCUAAGGCGAGGCCGAAAGGCGUAGUCGAUGGGAAACAGGUUAAUAUUCCUGUACUUGGUGUUACUGCGAAGGGGGGACGGAGAAGGCUAUGUUAGCCGGGCGACGGUUGUCCCGGUUUAAGCAUGUAGGCUGGUUAUCCAGGCAAAUCCGGAUAAUCAAGGCUGAGGUGUGAUGACGAGGCACUACGGUGCUGAAGUAACAAAUGCCCUGCUUCCAGGAAAAGCCUCUAAGCAUCAGGUAACAUCAAAUCGUACCCCAAACCGACACAGGUGGUCAGGUAGAGAAUACCAAGGCGCUUGAGAGAACUCGGGUGAAGGAACUAGGCAAAAUGGUGCCGUAACUUCGGGAGAAGGCACGCUGGUGUGUAGGUGAAGUCCCUGCGGAUGGAGCUGAGACCAGUCGAAGAUACCAGCUGGCUGCAACUGUUUAUUAAAAACACAGCACUGUGCAAACACGAAAGUGGACGUAUACGGUGUGACGCCUGCCCGGUGCCGGAAGGUUAAUUGAUGGGGUUAUCCGUAAGGAGAAGCUCUUGAUCGAAGCCCCGGUAAACGGCGGCCGUAACUAUAACGGUCCUAAGGUAGCGAAAUUCCUUGUCGGGUAAGUUCCGACCUGCACGAAUGGCGUAAUGAUGGCCAGGCUGUCUCCACCCGAGACUCAGUGAAAUUGAACUCGCUGUGAAGAUGCAGUGUACCCGCGGCAAGACGGAAAGACCCCGUGAACCUUUACUAUAGCUUGACACUGAACAUUGAGCCUUGAUGUGUAGGAUAGGUGGGAGGCUUUGAAGCCUGGACGCCAGUCUGCGUGGAGCCAACCUUGAAAUACCACCCUUUAAUGUUUGAUGUUCUAACGUUGGCCCCUGACCGGGGUUGCGGACAGUGUCUGGUGGGUAGUUUGACUGGGGCGGUCUCCUCCCAAAGCGUAACGGAGGAGCACGAAGGUUAGCUAAUCCUGGUCGGACAUCAGGAGGUUAGUGCAAUGGCAUAAGCUAGCUUGACUGCGAGCGUGACGGCGCGAGCAGGUGCGAAAGCAGGUCAUAGUGAUCCGGUGGUUCUGAAUGGAAGGGCCAUCGCUCAACGGAUAAAAGGUACUCCGGGGAUAACAGGCUGAUACCGCCCAAGAGUUCAUAUCGACGGCGGUGUUUGGCACCUCGAUGUCGGCUCAUCACAUCCUGGGGCUGAAGUAGGUCCCAAGGGUAUGGCUGUUCGCCAUUUAAAGUGGUACGCGAGCUGGGUUUAGAACGUCGUGAGACAGUUCGGUCCCUAUCUGCCGUGGGCGCUGGAGAAUUGAGGGGGGCUGCUCCUAGUACGAGAGGACCGGAGUGGACGCAUCACUGGUGUUCGGGUUGUCAUGCCAAUGGCACUGCCCGGUAGCUAAAUGCGGAAGAGAUAAGUGCUGAAAGCAUCUAAGCACGAAACUUGCCCCGAGAUGAGUUCUCCCUGAGACUAUAAGUCUCCUGAAGGAACGUUAAAGACGAUGACGUUGAUAGGCCGGGUGUGUAAGCGCAGCGAUGCGUUGAGCUAACCGGUACUAAUGAACCGUGAGGCUUAACCUUACAACGCCGAAG
rnacentral:rRNA from 1 species